rnacentral:rRNA from 1 species
AACGAACGCUGGCGGCAGGCCUAACACAUGCAAGUCGGGCGGACCUUUCGGGGUCAGCGGCGGACGGGUGAGUAACGCGUGGGAAUAUGCCCUUCUCUACGGAAUAGUCCUGGGAAACUGGGGGUAAUACCGUAUACGCCCUUUGGGGGAAAGAUUUAUCGGGGAAGGAUUAGCCCGCGUUGGAUUAGGUAGUUGGUGGGGUAAUGGCCUACCAAGCCGACGAUCCAUAGCUGGUUUGAGAGGAUGAUCAGCCACACUGGGACUGAGACACGGCCCAGACUCCUACGGGAGGCAGCAGUGGGGAAUCUUAGACAAUGGGGGCAACCCUGAUCUAGCCAUGCCGCGUGAGUGAUGAAGGCCUUAGGGUUGUAAAGCUCUUUCAGCUGGGAAGAUAAUGACGGUACCAGCAGAAGAAGCCCCGGCUAACUCCGUG